rnacentral:misc_RNA from 2 species
AACGCACAUUGCGCCCCUUGGUAUUCCGGGGGGCAUGCCUGUUCGAGCGUCAUUUCAACCCUCAAGCUCUGCUUGGUAUUGAGCCCAUGUCAGCAAUGGCAGGCUCUAAAAUCAGUGGCGGCGCCGCUGGGUCCUGAACGUAGUAAUAUCUCUCGUUACAGGUUCUCAGCGAGCUUCUGCCAAAACCCCAAAUUUUUCUAUGGUUGACCUCGGAUCAGGUAGGGAUACCCGCUGAACUUAA